GCACAAAGUUUUAGUGAUUGUCUUAUUAUCUUGUUUGCAUUAGAGAUACGAGAUACCGGGUAAAAUUAAAAGGCUAUUUUGUAUGGUCGUUUGUUGCUCAUUAAGUAAACAUUCCCGGUUUAGUGUUAUCUCAAAUUCUCGACACAGAUAGGAGCGUACCUCUUCAAGAAAGCUAUAUAAAGGGAUGCGGGAUCUAUUCAAAUGUUUGUUCCCUGGAAGAGAGCCUUCAUUUCAAUCAUGUUCGUUUCAAAGUGUAUUUUUUCGGUUGUGAUUUUUUGUGUAGUGCACGAAACGUUAAGCAAGCCAACAGAAAGUGUUUUAACCCAAGGUCGCGGUAUAGUAUCAAGUAUAGGUUCAACAUUAUGGGAAUAUAUUAAAUAUCCUUUUACGUGGUGGAGUUCAGGUGAUCAGGAGCCCACACCCAUCACCGAUCAACUUGUUGCAUCUACGACUUACGGGCCUAACGAUAACAUAGAACUAGGUAAACAUAACGUCACAGUGUGGUGCAACGAACAAACUUGUACAACAAUGAAAUGCAAUAAGGACGGUUGCAAGAACAACACGUGCAGUAUGUAUGAUACAUAUCAAGAUGGGGAAUGCCGCGAAUAUACUACUAUUGUAGAUCCCGAUAAACCUAUGACGCCGCUUGAGCCGACAACGAUUUCUAGUCUUCCCCAAAGUCAUGAAUCAACUGAAUUUUCAUCGCAAGUAAUGGAGCAAAGUACUAAGUCACCGGCAGUCGCCACAGCGAUAAAUGAUGAGAACACAACUAAGGAACCUGAGACAGCUUCAGUGAUAACGGAGAAAGCUUCUAAUGAACCCGUAAUUUCUCCUUUGAUAAUUGCGACAGAAGUACCUAAAAUGAGUAUUGGAGGAUUAAACCGCAAACCAAGUGAAUUAGAAGCGACCACGAUUGCGUCUAUAGAAAGUUACGAAACAACGUCAAAUUCGUAAAACGAGAUGUUACUGCAACAGACCAUUCAGUAAGCUACAGUUCCGUUCUUCAACGAAUAAAUAACAACAUGCCCAAUUUUAUAAAAUCUAUAUUAGAACAAAUUACGACAAAACUUACAAACAAUUUAAUUAGUAACCUAAAUAUAAGCUCGUCAUGUGUCGACGGCGUGUGUUAUUAUUACACAAAAUGCCAACACACCAACUGCAAUGUUGCGUACUGCAAGUAUAAUUUAUUGAUCGGAGUCGAAGAAUGUUCCCCAGUCAAGGUUCCAGCAACUUAUCAAGUAAAAGCACAAAGAAAUACUAUACAAGUUGAAUGUAUCAAACAUCCAUCAGAGCCUAGUGAUAACGACGAAGAUAAUGAAAUUAAAAUAAUAAAUAAAAUGUUACAUUAAUUAAAUUGUGCAUUUAUUACUAACCAACUAUGACUCAUAGACGCCCCCUGUGGGAACAGAUAAGUAACCGCCGAGGGAUUUGGAUGCCAUUAAAAAGAACAAAAGAAUAAGAGCUAAACUAUUUGUCUGACUCAAAAUGUAAGGAACUCAAAGACUCAUUGCAUACAUCCC